rnacentral:tRNA from 1 species
GCGGGUGUAGUUCAAUGGUAGAAUCCCAGCCUUCCAAGCUGGUUGUGUGGGUU